rnacentral:rRNA from 1 species
AAUAUUGGACAAUGGGGGCAACCCUGAUCCAGCCAUGCCGCGUGUGUGAAGAAGGUCUUCGGAUGGUAAAGCACUUUAAGUUGGGAGGAAGGGCUUUAGGUUAAUACCCUGAAGUUUUGACGUUACCAACAGAAUAAGCACCGGCUAACUCUGUGCCAGCAGCCGCGGUAAUACAGAGGGUGCAAGCGUUUAUCGGAAUUACUGGGCGUAAAACGCGCGUAGGUUGUUCAGUAAGAUGGGUGUGAAAUCCCCGGGCGUAACCUGGGGAAUGCUUUCAUAACUGCUGGGCUAGAGUACAGUAGAGGGUAGUGGAAUUUCCUGUGUAGCGGUGAAAUGCGUAGAUAUAGGAAGGAACACCAGUGGCGAAGGCGACUACCUGGACUGAUACUGACACUGAGGUGCGAAAGCGUGGGGAGCAAAC